rnacentral:lncRNA from 1 species
AUGAAAGAACCUGAACAGAUGUUUGACUCAGUUAUUAACUGCUUUUUUUUUUCGCUUUCUUCAGGUUCUGAAAACUCAUUUAUACAAGUUAUAUUUCCAGAGAAAAUCCAAGCAAAUACAAGCAAUGGUUCAGAAGUAGAAGACUAUGAUUACUUGGGCUCUGAUAGCAUGAUUAUAACAAAUAAAAUCAUCGAAAUUAUUGGCCUUGUAAAUUCGGUAAGUAUUGUCCUUUUCAUACUAGUUAGAAAGACUCAUCCUGGUUUUGAGUGAUAAUUUGCAUGAAUUUGCGUUAUAAUUAAGUCAUCCGUAUAAACUGAGUGAGGAUUUGUUGAGACAUUGAAUGUAUUUCGUGGUUAUGGUAAAAUAACAUAAAGAUUAAUUUUUCAUCUAUUUAUCUCUUCUGUUUUUAGAUGUUUGCCCAAUUUAAUGUUACUGUUGUGCUGUCAUCAUUGGAGCUGUGGUCAGAUAAAAAUAAGAUUUCUACAGUUGGUGAGGCGGAUGAAUUACUGAGUAGAUUUUCAGAUUGGAAAAAGUCCUAUCUUACCCUAAGGCCUCAUGAUAUUGCAUAUUUAUUCAUGUAAGAAUAAUGUUUGAGUAUUCUUAGAAAGAAAACAAAAAUCUGUGACAAUGGAAGUUGCUUAAUUUUAGGGAAUUGUUAUUCAUUUCUCACUAUUUACACUUUGACCAUUAAGUGCUUUAUUCAGGCCUUGUGCUCUCUUUCUGGUUGUCAGAGAAUAAAAAAAGAUUACUAAAAUUUAUUUCUAUGCUU